AAUGUACCAUAUUGUGAGCUUUGUGGAAACUGAAGUUUCCACAAGAAGUUGAGGUUGUGCCUGCAAUCUGGGUAAAGGACGAAGUGUGUUUAUGGCCUCCAUACAAGGGUGAAGGAGUUCAGAGAGCCACAAGGAAUUUGGAGCAACCACAGGAGUCUUGGGCGGCAUAUAAAGUUAGAAUUCUAUAUACUGCAAAUAAUUACAGUGCAGCAGGUCGGAAGCUGCCUCUUGCAGAGCAACAAACGGAUCUGCAGUCAGAGAAAGUGAAAUGAAACCGGCGUCUAUUGGACGACUACGAUACAGAUGAGGAGACCAUUGCACCGAAAAAGAAUUUGCCGCAAGCCCCAUACAUACAACCACUAUCACAAAGAGCUUGCUCCGCUUUAGAUGAGGUUCAACCAAGUCCUCUACAACACAGACCCCAAAAGGUCCCCAUCUGUGACACAGGUUCCAGGGACCUCAAAACAGGCUUUGAUGGAAAGAAGCCCUACCUCUCAGUGGCAGAACUUUGAAAGUGCUCUAGGAAAGUCGUUACGGCAAGCAAUAGACCUACCUGCACAGUCACCAGCUUAGACUCUUUUCCAUACUGCCCAUCAGAUGGGUCCAGAAGCAGAAAAUUAUAGUCAUAUGUCGUGGCAAAGAGGAUCAACGCUACAAUUUCCAGAGGAGCCAACACAACCUCUGUGGCAUCGUGAAACACCCAGAAGAAGCUAUUCAAUAGAUGAUCCAUUCAAAAAAAUUUAAGUUCUAUUUAAUUCACACACAAAGGGCGGUGUACCAGACAGUGCUUAUCCUAGUCCCAGAAUAAAAUGCAUGUUUCAGACGCUUCAAUUUAAAACGCCUUGUACUGACAUCUUAACAUGCAUCAGUGCCAUUGUUUUGUCUCAAGAUUUUUUUUUUUGUCUCUCCCACAACAGUUUUGUUUUUGCAAGGUUUGUUUGUAGAAAUGUUUUAUUUUAUUUAUUUUUUUAAAUGUUCUUAUAUAACUAGGGCCUAGUCCUGGAUUAAUCUAAACCCUGUCUGGGAAACCGUGUCUCAAUGUUUGUUUAAGGCUUAUGUCAUAGCAGGGAUGAAGUGAUAACCUUACAAUUUCUGUUUAAUGUUUCAGCACUUCUUCAUGAUGUGUUAACCAAGCUUGAAGUCGUUAUGGAGCAGCAAAGAAACAUUGUAAGGAUGAUUCAAGACCUGAAAUCCAACAAUGUAAGGGAGAUCACAGAGGAAAAUGAACUAAGUCCCACUCUUUUUCCAGUGGAAGAUUUAAGGUCCCUAACUUCCCUUGAAAGUAAUCUUCGAUCCAGUCCUGAAACAAGACGGAAAGUGGUAAUUGAACUUGGCUUGCUUGGUGGGGUGGAUGCUAAGGACAAAAUUUGGCGUAUAAUGAAACAGACAAUAAAAAAAUGACUUUGCAAAAACGAUGAACUGGAAAGGCGCAAAUGGAAAAACACCAUUCCAAGGUCUUGAACUGAAAAACGUUGUGAUUGAGGCUGUGAGACGAAACCCUGCAUGCUCUCAGACAACAGAGCUAGAAGUCGAAAAGGUUAUUAGGCGGUAGUUUUAUCUGGCUGGUGAUCUGGAGGGUGGCAGGAAAAAAAGAACACCAUUGCAAAGAUUUUAAUCAAACCAUUGCCUUACCCCUUUUCUGUUAACAACCAGCUUUUGUUUGCCUAAUUGUUAGUAUCCUUUUAUUCUGUUGCUUUUAUUCACUUACUUGAUUUGCACAUGUAUAUUUCAUUUGUAUUUAAUUUGUCUCUUAAA